rnacentral:rRNA from 1 species
AACGAACGCUGGCGGCAUGCCUAACACAUGCAAGUCGAACGAGACCUUCGGGUCUAGUGGCGCACGGGUGCGUAACGCGUGGGAACCUGCCCUUAGGUUCGGAAUAACUCCCCGAAAGGGGUGCUAAUACCGGAUAAUGUCUUCGGACCAAAGAUUUAUCGCCUUUGGAUGGGCCCGCGUUGGAUUAGCUAGUUGGUAGGGUAAAAGCCUACCAAGGCGACGAUCCAUAGCUGGUCUGAGAGGAUGAUCAGCCACACUGGGACUGAGACACGGCCCAGACUCCUACGGGAGGCAGCAGUGGGGAAUAUUGGACAAUGGGCGAAAGCCUGAUCCAGCAAUGCCGCGUGAGUGAUGAAGGCCUUAGGGUUGUAAAGCUCUUUUACCCGGGAUGAUAAUGACAGUACCGAGAGAAUAAGCUCCGGCUAACUC